ACAUCUCAUCUCGUAUCAAAACAAGAAGAAAGCAUAGAGGUUUUCAUUUCUCAAUCAAGCUGGUGGAGUCAUUAACAGAGAAAAGGAGAUCUGAGAGCAUCAUUGUGGACGGAGUAUUUCAAGCAGUUGCCGUUCGAAGAUCUGUAGGGUUCGUUAUCGCUGAAGUGGGGUUAUAAGACAGCAAAAUUGGCUGAAUUGGUUCUGUUUUGGGGGUUAAUCAGCGGCAACAAGACAGAUCUGUGAGUUUGGGUUGGGAAUUUUAUGUAGAACAAGGAUGGAAGCUCGAGAUGAAUUCCGUUGUGAAAUUGAAGAUAGCAACUGAUGAUGAUUUGGUUUGGUGUCGGAUCGAGCUCAAGUUCAGUUGAUGAGAAAAGCAAAGAGAUGAGGACUGCUGUUAAUGGCACGAAUGAAGAAAGACGCCGGAGAACAGAAAUGACGAUUGCUGUUGGUAUUGUUGCAGUGAGGAUUAAUUGCAGGUGGUAUUAUUUGGGGUCUGUUGAUUGAAGAAGAACUGGUGUUGUUCGAUAAUUCGAAUUAGGGUUGCGGCCAUCGAUUCGUGGCUGGGUACGAGAAGUUUAAGCAACAGAUGUAUGGGGAUUGCAGAUGAGAAAGAAGUAGAGAUGGUGAUGCAAGUUGAACGGGGUUGUGAAGACUGUCACUGACGCCACACCUUUGAGCAAGUUUUUAAUGGGUGAUUGCAGAAAUGUAAUAAUGCUGAGUGAUUCAAAUUAGUGUUGAUGCCAUGUGUACGAGAAGAUUAAACAACUGAUUUUGGGAGGUUUCUGGUGCAACAGCGACAACUGAAAUUGGAGAUUUCUGAACUCGAACUGAAAUUGGGGUUCUGUGGUUAAUUUGAGAUGUGCAGUUGGGGAAGAAAGAUGCUGCGGAUGGGAGAAGCAUGUCGAUGGGCAUUUGUGGCGAAGUCCAGAUCUGUAUGCGACUGUUAGCACAAAUAUAUGUGAAUUGCAGUUCCGAAAAUUGAGUUCAGUUCAUGGGGUUUCUGUGGCUGUAUAAACGGGAAUGAAGAUGGACCAAUUCACUUGAAUGAAGUCUAGAUUAAGCUUAAAAUCUGGCGGUUAUUGUUACAGAAUGGAAGUAGAUGCUGUAGCCUAGAAGUUAGAUGGUCAGGGAAUGGAGAUUGUAGAGCCGGUGAAUUGAAUCUGUGUUGGGUUGAUUUGAGAAUGAUGCUAUGGCUGGUGUUGGAAGGGCCUGAAUCUGGGAGUUAGGUGGUGCUUGGAUUGGGCCUGGCAAUUACAGCUCGGUCCUAGUUGGAGUGAGCAGCAAAACCUACAAAUAGCCGGCGAGAGGAGAAAAAAAGGCACGCCGUAAUCAGGGAAGCAAUUAGGUUUAGCUCCAUUUCAUUUGAUUGAUUUUCUAUAUGUUGAGUUUAUUCAUCUUUAUAUCAUUUUUUAUGGCUUUGAGCAAAACCAUGUCUAGCUAAAUCUAUUGUUAGGGUGAAGGAUGAACUUGUAGGUUUAUUUUAUUCAUGUUCUAAAACAAGGGUUUCUACCAACUGUGAGCUUAAUGUCAUUUGUUUGAGUUUCUCUACAAUGAUUUAUCUUCUAUUCAACUUCUCAUAUUCUAUGCCAUGUAUAGUCUAUUGUUAGGUUGAUAGAAAUACUCACUGAACCUUGUUAUUGAUUGUUGUAUGAUUAUUCCAAGACUAUGUAUGUCAUGUAUUCUUAGUACUAGGGAUGUCUACCUUCUAGGUUGAGAACAAACAAUAAUUUAUGAUAAUUCUUGCCUAUAAAUCCUUAAUGAAAUAUCUUCCGUGCGUUAGUAGCUAGGUUUGCAACUUCGCAUGAGUAAAUUUGAGACCUUGUGAUAGAACAUUAGUAAACGUAACUUACAACGGAUUCCGUAGCCCUAAUACUUCCACAUCUUUGAUACAAUCUUAAUUGUUUUGUUUUGGUUCAAUUUGUUAGCUUAUAGGAAUUAUGAAAUCUCCACUUUGAACUAUUCUUGACUUGAAAGUUACUAGUAUUGAUUGGAAAAAGAGUUUAGCUCUCCUCAUGGGAACGAUCCCUAUUUGCCACUAUUCACAUAUAGUGCAUCGUAUACUUGCGGUUAUACUUGCGGUUAAUUAAAGUCGGUUUUCCGACACAUCACAUACUUCUUUGGUAAUGCAACUAAUUCUUCUACGGGAGACAAAUUCUGAAAGCGUCUCUCAUUGACGUAGUUAUCGUCGAUCCAGAUAUGGAAUAUCUUGGACGUUGUUUCACCGUUGUGGCAGUCGUGCAUAUGGUACUGGAGUUUGGAGUUGGUGAUUUUGGACAUGCAGGGUGUUGUAUCUCGGUGGUUUUCGUCUUGCCGCUUCAGCGAAACUGCUUACAGAAGGCUGAAGCUUGCAUUGCCUGCAUUUUUGGGAAAUAAACAUUUUUGGAAAAUUCGGCUCGAAAAGGUGGUUAAGGCGCCCGCAAGACACAUAUAUUCGGACUCUUACUGUUGGAUAAGGGGCACCUAGUUGAUAAGGGACACCCUCUUGUACUAUGUACAGACACCUGCUAUUCGCACCCCAGUGUCUGAUAGGGGGCAGUCAUCUUCUUCCAUUUUAAGAAUCAGUUUUGGCGGGAAAAUGAUUUUCCUUCCUGCGUAAUUUUCUGGAGGAUACUUCCACGAGAUUUAGUCGGAGCUGCUGGGAUAUUUCCACGAGAUUUAGUCGGAGCUGCUGGGAUAUUUGGAUAUAUAUCGACCUGUUUUCAUAAAACCGGGAUGGUAAGCAAUUUAAUACCGAAUGAAAAGGUGAUUUCCAUCGAUUCUCAGUAAAUCAGGGAGGAAUUAUUAUUGGAUUUGAUUCGAAUUUAUUUUGGGAGAUACGUGAGAUUAUGGGAGGAGAUGUUGGUGCAGUUAUUACGAAGAUUUUUCGUGAUUAUCGUAAAAUAGGAGAAGGAAUUAAGCAGUCCGAGUAGUUUUGAUAAAACAGGGAAGAUCAUGUUCCCGGGUUAGGAAAUGGAAAGUUCAUCGAUAAAACAGAGAAGAUAUCUUUUCUGUUGAAGUAUGACCGGUCUGGGAAGAGUAUUAAGUGUGUUGGAGUGCCUCAACACCAUGCAUACGUGUGAAGGAGCUAUAUAUGGGAAUUAUUUCCCGUGACUGGCAGAGGAGAAUAAUGAAUUUAUUGGAGGAUCAUUCGCAGUUAUGGGAGAGUAUUCUCGGUGCUGUGAGACUAUAUACGUUGAGAAGGUGAACAGAGAAGGUUAUGGAGAGUUAGGGGAUAGAAGAGAGCGAAAAUAAUCAAGUUGCAGAGCCAUGUUCAUCAUCCGCAGAGAAGUGAAGAAGAAGAACAGACUACACUAAUAGUCUGUCGUUUAUAAAGUGUGAUCUAUUCUCACUACUUGCGACUGUUGUGCUGCAAUAGUUUUGAGCAAUAGUUUAUUUAACAGCGUCCAUGUAACAUUUAUUUUGAAUUCGCAACACCACUGUAACAGAGAGUCUGUGACGCCUAUAAAGCGUUCCAAACUCACUGUUUUAUAUAUUUUCUCCUUUUCCACCACUUGUAAACACUUUAGAGCAAUGAAAAAUUAUUACGAGCGUGUUUUCACCA